AGCUUUGCGCAGUGGCGAUAUCGUAACCAAUGAGGUCUAUCCGAGGUGCGAUUAUUGCUAGUUGAAAACUUUAACCAAUACCCCGCCAUGUGGACAUGAAACACUGUCCGCAUAGGCAAUUUUUGCAGGCCCUAACGGGC
rnacentral:snRNA from 1 species